AUCUCUGCGCAGGUGCAGUACUGUAAGCAAUGAGGUUAUCCGAGCUGCAGUUAUUGCUAAUUGAAAACUACUCCCAAUACCCCGCCUAGAUGACCUCAGUGUCGUCUAAGGCAAUUUAUGGGGACCUACAGGUU